rnacentral:rRNA from 1 species
UUGCUUCUCUUGAGAGCGGCGGACGGGUGAGUAAUGCCUAGGAAUCUGCCUGGUAGUGGGGGAUAACGUUCGGAAACGGACGCUAAUACCGCAUACGUCCUACGGGAGAAAGCAGGGGACCUUCGGGCCUUGCGCUAUCAGAUGAGCCUAGGUCGGAUUAGCUAGUUGGUGGGGUAAUGGCUCACCAAGGCGACGAUCCGUAACUGGUCUGAGAGGAUGAUCAGUCACACUGGAACUGAGACACGGUCCAGACUCCUACGGGAGGCAGCAGUGGGGAAUAUUGGACAAUGGGCGAAAGCCUGAUCCAGCCAUGCCGCGUGUGUGAAGAAGGUCUUCGGAUUGUAAAGCACUUUAAGUUGGGAGGAAGGGUUGUAGAUUAAUACUCUGCAAUUUUGACGUUACCGACAGAAUAAGCACCGGCUAACUCUGUGCCAGCAGCCGCGGUAAUACAGAGGGUGCAAGCGUUAAUCGGAAUUACUGGGCGUAAAGCGCGCGUAGGUGGUUUGUUAAGUUGGAUGUGAAAUCCCCGGGCUCAACCUGGGAACUGCAUUCAAAACUGACUGACUAGAGUAUGGUAGAGGGUGGUGGAAUUUCCUGUGUAGCGGUGAAAUGCGUAGAUAUAGGAAGGAACACCAGUGGCGAAGGCGACCACCUGGACUAAUACUGACACUGAGGUGCGAAAGCGUGGGGGAGCAAACAGGAUUAGAUACCCUGGUAGUCCACGCCGUAAACGAUGUCAACUAGCCGUUGGGAAGCCUUGAGCUUUUAGUGGCGCAGCUAACGCAUUAAGUUGACCGCCUGGG